rnacentral:rRNA from 2 species
AAAGCGGGUGAAAAGCCCGCUCGCCGGAAGACCAAGGGUUCCUGUCCAACGUUAAUCGGGGCAGGGUGAGUCGACCCCUAAGGCGAGGCCGAAAGGCGUAGUCGAUGGGAAACGGGUUAAUAUUCCCGUACUUGGUGUUACUGCGAAGGGGGGACGGAGAAGGCUAUGUUGGCCGGGCGACGGUUGUCCCGGUUUAAGCGUGUAGGUGUGUGUUCCAGGUAAAUCCGGUUCACUUUAACACUGAGGCGUGACGACGAGGCACUACGGUGCUGAAGCAACAAAUGCCCUGCUUCCAGGAAAAGCCUCUAAGCAUCAGGUAACAUCAAAUCGUACCCCAAACCGACACAGGUGGUCAGGUAGAGAAUACCAAGGCGCUUGAGAGAACUCGGGUGAAGGAACUAGGCAAAAUGGUGCCGUAACUUCGGGAGAAGGCACGCUGACACGUAGGUGAAGUGAUUUACUCAUGGAGCUGAAGUCAGUCGAAGAUACCAGCUGGCUGCAACUGUUUAUUAAAAACACAGCACUGUGCAAACACGAAAGUGGACGUAUACGGUGUGACGCCUGCCCGGUGCCGGAAGGUUAAUUGAUGGGGUCAGCGCAAGCGAAGCUCCUGAUCGAAGCCCCGGUAAACGGCGGCCGUAACUAUAACGGUCCUAAGGUAGCGAAAUUCCUUGUCGGGUAAGUUCCGACCUGCACGAAUGGCGUAAUGAUGGCCAGGCUGUCUCCACCCGAGACUCAGUGAAAUUGAACUCGCUGUGAAGAUGCAGUGUACCCGCGGCAAGACGGAAAGACCCCGUGAACCUUUACUAUAGCUUGACACUGAACAUUGAGCCUUGAUGUGUAGGAUAGGUGGGAGGCUUUGAAGUGUGGACGCCAGUCUGCAUGGAGCCGACCUUGAAAUACCACCCUUUAAUGUUUGAUGUUCUAACGUGGACCCGUUACCCGGGUUGCGGACAGUGUCUGGUGGGUAGUUUGACUGGGGCGGUCUCCUCCUAAAGAGUAACGGAGGAGCACGAAGGUUGGCUAAUCCUGGUCGGACAUCAGGAGGUUAGUGCAAUGGCAUAAGCCAGCUUGACUGCGAGCGUGACGGCGCGAGCAGGUGCGAAAGCAGGUCAUAGUGAUCCGGUGGUUCUGAAUGGAAGGGCCAUCGCUCAACGGAUAAAAGGUACUCCGGGGAUAACAGGCUGAUACCGCCCAAGAGUUCAUAUCGACGGCGGUGUUUGGCACCUCGAUGUCGGCUCAUCACAUCCUGGGGCUGAAGUAGGUCCCAAGGGUAUGGCUGUUCGCCAUUUAAAGUGGUACGCGAGCUGGGUUUAGAACGUCGUGAGACAGUUCGGUCCCUAUCUGCCGUGGGCGCUGGAGAACUGAGGGGGGCUGCUCCUAGUACGAGAGGACCGGAGUGGACGCAUCACUGGUGUUCGGGUUGUCAUGCCAAUGGCACUGCCCGGUAGCUAAAUGCGGAAGAGAUAAGUGCUGAAAGCAUCUAAGCACGAAACUUGCCCCGA